rnacentral:lncRNA from 1 species
CAGACCCAGUGGGGCCGAGACCCAGGGCCGGCUCUGCAGAUGCUGCCCGUGCUGCUGCCACCGCUGCUGCUGCUGCUGCUUAGGCCCAGGCUGACGGAGGCCUACAGCAGGAAGGACCCGGCCACGUGGCCUUGGCAGGCAAGCAUCUUUCUGGACAGCCGGUACCGCUGUGAGGGGGCCCUCAUUUCCCCAGAGUGGGUGCUGACAAGUGCCAGCUGCUUUGGCAGCUGGCCGCUGGCCCUCUUCAGCGUGACCCUGGGCCCAGAUCGGCUGGCGCUGGACACUUGUGGCAGCAAGGCCAGCGUGGAGGCGCUGCUCCUGUCCCCAGGAGGGCCCAAGGCCUCGGGAUCUGGUGCCCUGGCCCUGGCUCGGCUGGCAAGGCCACCAUCUCUCAGCAGUGCCAUAUGGCCUAUCCCUCUGGCCACCCGGGCCCCAGGGGCGGAUCUGCUGGGCCCAAGGCUUUGAUCCUGACUUGGACCCCCACGCCCCACCCCCAAGGCUGGAGAGCACCCCCCUGAGGCUGCUGCACACCAACACCUGCAGAGACACCUUCCGCCUCCAGCCCGACUGUCCGGACCUGCAGGCCCUCCUGCCCAAGGGCUCCCGGUGCGCGAUCGCCCCCACCGGCCCAGCCCAGCUGGUGGUGUCUGAUGGGAGCCCCCUGGUCUGCUUCCAAGCUAGCAGCUGGCGGCUGGAGGGUGUGAUGACCUGGGGUCCCUGCUCCCGGCCUGGCCUCCCUGAGGUCUACACACGUGCCUGUCCCCUCAUUUCUUGGAUUCGGGAGACGGUCUCCAAUGCCACCUUCGAUACCUCAGCCAAGAUGCACUCUUGGGACCGGCCCAGGACCAGGCAGAGGAGGCAGUGAGGGUCCUUCGGGAGUUCUGGGUUUGAAACCUGGCUCAGCUCCUUACCUGCUGCUGCGAUGGUGUCCCAGUCACCUCCCUUCUGAAUCUGCUUCCUCUUUUGUGCAACGGAGAUGUAUUCAAUUAUUCAGUCGUUCCACAGCUGCCACAUGCUCCCUACACAAGGUUGCUACAGCCCCUGUGCUCAUGGAGUCUGGGGGGCGAGGCGAGCAUUAGCCAGCGCUCUCACAAUAAUAAAUGUGCAAAUGC